GUGCCAGCCGCCGCGGUAAUACGUAGGGAGCGAGCGUUGUCCGGAUUUACUGGGUGUAAAGGGUGCGUAGGCGGCAAUGCAAGUCAGAUGUGAAAACUAUGGGCUUAACUCAUAGAUUGCAUUUGAAACUGUGUUGCUUGAGUGAAGUAGAGGCAAGCGGAAUUCCCGGUGUAGCGGUGAAAUGCGUAGAGAUCGGGAGGAACACCAGUGGCGAAAGCGGCCUGCUGGGCUUUAACUGACGCUGAGGCACGAAAGCAUGGGUAGCAAACAGGAUUAGAUACCCUGGUAGUCCAUGCCGUAAACGAUGAUUACUAGGUGUGGGGGGUCUGACCCCUUCCGUGCCGGAGUUAACACAAUAAGUAAUCCACCUGGGGAGUACGACCGCAAGGUUGAAACUUAAAUGAAUUGACGG
rnacentral:rRNA from 1 species